rnacentral:rRNA from 1 species
AUUGAACGCUGGCGGCAGGCCUAACACAUGCAAGUCGAGCGGUUGACGGGAGCUUGCUCCCUGAUUCAGCGGCGGACGGGUGAGUAAUGCCAAGGAAUCUCCUUAUUAGUGGGGGACAACGUUUCAAAAGGAACGCUAAUACCGCAUACGUCAUACGGGAGAAAGGAGGGGACCUUCGGGCCUUGCGCUAAUAGAUGAGCCUAGGUCGGAUUAGCUAGUUGGUGAGGUAAGGGCUCACCAAGGCGACGAUCCGUAACUGGUCUGAGAGGAUGAUCAGUCACACUGGAACUGAGACACGGUCCAGACUCCUACGGGAGGCAGCAGUGGGGAAUAUUGGACAAUGGGCGAAAGCCUGAUCCAGCCAUGCCGCGUGUGUGAAGAAGGUCUUCGGAUUGUAAAGCACUUUAAGUUGGGAGGAAGGGUUGUAGAUUAAUACUCUGCAAUUUUGACGUUACCGACAGAAUAAGCACCGGCUAACUCUGUGCCAGCCGCCGCUGUAAAAC